rnacentral:rRNA from 1 species
GAUGAACGCUGGCGGCGUGCCUAAUACAUGCAAGUCGAGCGAACAGACGAGGAGCUUGCUCCUCUGACGUUAGCGGCGGACGGGUGAGUAACACGUGGAUAACCUACCUAUAAGACUGGGAUAACUUCGGGAAACCGGAGCUAAUACCGGAUAAUAUAUUGAACCGCAUGGUUCAAUAGUGAAAGACGGUUUUGCUGUCACUUAUAGAUGGAUCCGCGCCGCAUUAGCUAGUUGGUAAGGUAACGGCUUACCAAGGCAACGAUGCGUAGCCGACCUGAGAGGGGGAACGGCCACACUGGAACUGAGACACGGUCCAAACUCCGACGGGAGGCAGCAGUAGGGAAGCUUCCGCAAUGGGCGAAAGCCUGACGGAGCAACGCCGCGUGAGUGAUGAAGGGCUGCGGAUCGUAAAACUCUGUUAUUAGGGAAGAACAAAUGUGUAAGUAACUAUGCACGUCUGGACGGUACCUAAGCAGAAAGCCACGGCUAACUACGU